ACGUAGGUGGCAAGCGUUGUCCGGAAUUACUGGGUGUAAAGGGAGCGUAGGCGGUUUGAUAAGUUGAAUGUGAAAUCUAUCGGCUCAACUGAUAGGCUGCGUUCAAAACUAUUGAACUUGAGUGAAGUAGAGGCAGGCGGAAUUCCCGGUGUAGCGGUGGAAUGCGUAGAUAUCGGGAGGAACACCAGUGGCGAAGGCGGCCUGCUGGGCUUUUACUGACGCUGAGGCUCGAAAGCAUGGGGAGCAAACAG
rnacentral:rRNA from 1 species